GACGAACGCUGGCGGCGUGCCUAAUACAUGCAAGUCGAGCGGAGUUGAAGAGGUGCUUGCACCUCUGAUACUUAGCGGCGGACGGGUGAGUAACACGUAGGCAACCUGCCUGUAAGACUGGGAUAACAUUCGGAAACGAAUGCUAAUACCGGAUAAACGAAGCCCUCGCAUGAGGGAAUCGGGAAAGACGGAGUAAUCUGUCACUUACGGAUGGGCCUGCGGCGCAUUAGCUAGUUGGUGAGGUAACGGCUCACCAAGGCGACGAUGCGUAGCCGACCUGAGAGGGUGAUCGGCCACACUGGGACUGAGACACGGCCCAGACUCCUACGGGAGGCUG
rnacentral:rRNA from 1 species